GUGCUCGUUUUGGCAGCACAUAUACUAAAAUUGGAACAAUACAGAGAAGGUUAGCAUGGCCCCUGUGCAAGGAUGACAUGCAAAUUCGUGAAGCGUCUUUUUAAUUU